AUGUCCCUUUUACACACCCCGUCUCCCUCUGUGCACUGCUCGGUGCUGGCAGCCGCUGAGAUGGGAGGUUUUCCUUCCUUGGCAGCCUGCUUCCCCUCUCUUGGCUGGGGACAGGCACUGGAGCAUGCUACUGGCUGGGAGUGUGGAAGGGAAGCGAAGACGGGGAAAGGAGGGGGAGAGGGGAGGGGUGGAGGCGUGGUCUUACAGCUGGUAAUGAAGUCUUCUCUUUUCAUCCUCACAAGGCAGAGCGUGAACCAACGGGCCUGGGGUCUGCGCGGCUCCGCUGCUUUCUCUGCCUGUGAAGUCUGCCAAACGCUGCUGCGCUUUCCGCCGCCCGUGCGCCUCAGCGCCCGCCUCCAGCGGCUGAGACUUACCAAACAGACAAAGGCUGAGGAAGACCUCUACAGUCAUGACGCUUUCCCCCCUACUGGCUGCACAACACUGCUCGUGAGGCCUGCUUUGCUCUGGUGCCACAUUGGCGGUUCACAAUGAGGGUGAAGAGAUGAGCCUGCAUCUAGCAGCCCUGACCCUGCAGUCCCUGCCACUGGAUAUUUACUGAUUCACAGAAUCCAGAAGACAAUGCCCCUGUCUCCCAGAUAACACUUCUGAGGACCGGGCUUU
rnacentral:lncRNA from 1 species